AUAUUUAAUUUUAUUCCUUCUGAUUUAAAAAUUUCAUUAAAAAGUCACACGUGCUCUGGACUAAUUAAUUCACAUUCAGUGUAGUUAAUUCGUUUUUACUAUUACUAAUAAGCAUUUACAACAAAUAUAGCCUUAAUUUUUAUUUAACAUAAUACAAUUUAAUGACAAGUCAUGUCAACAAAUGCCAAGGGGCAUAAUACCUUCUUCGUUUCAUAUCAGUAUCAUGAAGUAGGAAUUUAACCUACAUAAGAUCUUUAGUUCUCUCAAAAUCCUCCAUGAAGACAUACUACAUAUAUGUAGAUAUAUACAUUAUGAACACACUGAUUCGACGAUUCGAGACGUAGUUUGAUAAAACCUCCGCAUUAAAUACAAUAAUAUAUAUGUAAUAUAAUAUAAUAUAUAUAAUAAUAUAUAAUAUGUUUAAAAGCAGAUUAUAUAAACUAAAAAUAUCGAUCAGGAUAGUGAGCGUAGUGUAGGAUGUCCAGCGGUAGGUCACCAUUUUACGAAAAGUAUGAUCGAAAAGUGAUCGGAUCCACGCAUGCAUGUUGCUUACUCUGGGCUGCAUUGUUCGAAAGAGGGCCGCGCAGCUGCUCGAAAAUAGACAAGUCCAUUGUGGUGUGCACGGAACGCGACAAUGGACGCUGAUGCAUGCCUGAAAUCGAUCGGGAAACUGACUCACGGGCACGGGCACGGGCACGGGCACGGGGACGAUCCCAAACGCACCAUUAUUCCCAUAUCGACAAGGUCAUGACCUCCGGCAAGAAUCGUGAUGCGACUACACGUAGCUCCACUCUUUCUUGUCUAUGGCGGGCAGGAGCAGGUCGUUGCCACUCGAUCGUCACACUACCAGACUCCAUGGACGUUAUGGCGGAAACGAUAUCAGUGAUAUAAAACAUGCACAAUGAGCAGAGGAGAUAUUGGUGAAGACUCACCGGUGCGAUCCAGUUGAUCCGAAGCGACGAUCGAAAAUCCAGUCGGUUAAUCGAGGGCCGGCGUCCCGCCGUGCCGAUGCACUGAGAAGUUUCAAACACUUUCUGAUUGGUACACCAGCGUAAAUUCACACGAGUUACGUGAUCGAGUCAAUCUCAUAAUCGCAACACAGUCCUCGGCUACGAACAUACACUGAAUUCGUUUUUAAAUCGAAACGACACGACGGCGCGCCGAACACGACACUUAAAUGCCAAACUAUCGUAGCAACGGGUGCUUCGUUACUGCGUGACGGUGUACCAAGGUUCAUUGUGUGCUCGCCUUUCUGCUUGGUGAUUGGCGGAGGGGAUGAUGGAGGACAGAUGGUAGUCACGGAGGUUACCGGCAAACAUCAAGCAGCACCGAGUCUGAUUCAUCCUUGCCUCGUAAGAUGGUGCAU